rnacentral:rRNA from 1 species
AUCUAUGGCCAUGGCACCCUGAAUAAGCCUGACAUCUGAUCUUUGAAGCUAAGCAGAGUUGGGCCUGGUUAGUACUUGGAUGGGAGACCACCUAGAAAGACCAGGUGCUGUAGGCA